CCUACGGGAGGCAGCAGUGGGGAAUAUUGCACAAUGGGGGAAACCCUGAUGCAGCGACGCCGCGUGAGUGAAGAAGUAUCUCGGUACGUAAAGCUCUAUCAGCAGGGAAGAUAAUGACGGUACCUGACCAAGAAGCCCCGGCUAACUACGUGCCAGCAGCCGUGGUAAUACGUAGGGGGCAAGCGUUAUCCGGAUGUAGUGGGGUUAAAGGGUGCGUAGGCGGAAUGCCAAGUCAGCGGUAAAAUCGCGGGGCGCAACCUCGCUCCGCCGUUGAAACUGGCGUUCUUGAGUGGGCGAGAAGUAUGCGGAAUGCGUGGUGUAGCGGUGAAAUGCAUAGAUAUCACGCAGAACUCCGAUUGCGAAGGCAGCAUACCGGCGCCCAACUGACGCUGAAGCACGAAAGGGUGGGUAUCGAACAGGAUUAGAUACCCGAGUAGUC
rnacentral:rRNA from 1 species